rnacentral:lncRNA from 1 species
UUUGACUUAAUCUAAUAACUCCUUAGUGUAAAACGCAGUCUUUAAAUGGCAAACGCAUGCCUGGAAUCUGCUUUUGAAUUUCCGCCGUACAGCAAAUGCGGAAAUGCGGAUUCUCUUUCCGCAUUUCCGCCAAUCUGGGCUUCGCUGCGGAAAGCGUGACGAAACCUAUUUACGCAGGUUUCCGUUUACGCAGGUUUCCGUUUCGGCUCGUUCCCUGGUUACCGGCCGCCUUCCACCCGAAACCAUUUAGAUUGACGCUAAAAUAUCUUUCGAGUUUUUGCAAAAACAACUUCGGGUGGCUGCACUGGGGCCCUGGAAGCCGUGCUUCGCACGGAAUCAAAACCAUUUGGAUCACUACGGGGUACCUCAAUUUCCUCUGUAGGGCAAAGUAAAAAAUUCUCUAAAAUGUCUACUGGGACUCUGUUUUCGGUCACCGACUUGGGGGUCACCGACCUCUGCCAGCAGGGUCAGGCAUGCAAAAUGGAUGCAACACAACCAUGUGCACGCGAUAUGGGUCCUGUAACGCCGCUAAGGCGGCCCUUGGCUCACCGGGCCAACGGUAUCGUACCAACGGUACAUCCAAGAACUAUUCAUAAUCUUCCAAUACCAAACGGUAUUUAUCAAUACCACCUUUUAUCGUUGGAUAAUUUCCUUUUUCGCAACUGCUUGCCAACUGCAAGCUUUGUUACAAUUUUGGUAUCUGAGACCAACCGGUCAAACGACCUCGGAGUCAAGCACUCCAUCGCUUCCGCAAACACAUUCCAACUUAAGAAACAUUUUCUAUCUGACUUACAUGGCGAGCCCAGGGAAUACCAUGCGCACCCAGUCGGCGAAGGUCCAGCAAGCUGCAGCUCACGAAGGACUUUCUCCACCAAGUUUGCCGAUGCCCGUGAAGGGAACUACCCAAGCUAGCGCCACCAGCAGCUCAGUGCGCUAUCGAGAAAGCUUGCACAUCCGAUUUACUCUCAGCCACAAAGACUAGAAAC